CGGUACUGACCUUAGCGGCGGACGGGUGAGUAAUGCUUAGGAAUCUGCCUAUUAGUGGGGGACAACAUCUCGAAAGGGAUGCUAAUACCGCAUACGUCCUACGGGAGAAAGCAGGGGAUCACUUGUGACCUUGCGCUAAUAGAUGAGCCUAAGUCGGAUUAGCUAGUUGGUGGGGUAAAGGCCUACCAAGGCGACGAUCUGUAGCGGGUCUGAGAGGAUGAUCCGCCACACUGGGACUGAGACACGGCCCAGACUCCUACGGGAGGCAGCAGUGGGGAAUAUUGGACAAUGGGGGGAACCCUGAUCCAGCCAUGCCGCGUGUGUGAAGAAGGCCUUAUGGUUGUAAAGCACUUUAAGCGAGGAGGAGGCUAUCCUAGUUAAUACCUAGGAAUAGUGGACGUUACUCGCAGAAUAAGCACCGGCUAACUCUGUGCCAGCAGCCGCGGUAAUACAGAGGGUGCAAGCGUUAAUCGGAUUUACUGGGCGUAAAGCGCGCGUAGGCGGCCAAUUAAGUCAAAUGUGAAAUCCCCGAGCUUAACUUGGGAAUUGCAUUCGAUACUGGUUGGCUAGAGUGUGGGAGAGGAUGGUAGAAUUCCAGGUGUAGCGGUGAAAUGCGUAGAGAUCUGGAGGAAUACCGAUGGCGAAGGCAGCCAUCUGGCCUAACACUGACGCUGAGGUGCGAAAGCAUGGGGAGCAAACAGGAUUAGAUACCCUGGUAGUCCAUGCCGUAAACGAUGUCUACUAG
rnacentral:rRNA from 1 species